CACUAUCAUCCACCAGGAGAGAGAGGGAAACUGGAGCACUAUCAUCACUAUCCUGUUCUUUGAUGUCUUAUGUUAGCCAUGUGUUAGCCUUUACCUUAUAUGACCUGCAGGAAUGUGGUACGGUUUCCCCCAUAAAGAUAUAAUAUCAAACGGUUCUAUUUAAUUGUGUAAUUUACCCUAUAGACGUAGCCUAUGAAUUCUCGAUAUAUUACAAUGCCAUGGAGUCGUCCAAAAAUACCCUUUAAACACUUACAGAUUUUCUUCCCUACUGAUCCGAGUGAGUUUACCUCAGCUGACCUACGCUAUAUGAAACAGCCAGACAUCCAAUGCUGAGGAACCAACACAAUGUAACGCAGCCGUCUGCUCCAUCCCUUUCAACAGCGUCAGCGCUCACCUCUCAUUUCUGACCAUACAGUGCCAUCUACAGGAAACAUGGCCCACUGAGGAGAGCCAUGUUUCAUUUCAUCAUAGCAACACUACGCGGCAGUAUAGACGUUCUGCAGGUGAUCUCAUUGCUCACGUGCGUGUGUGUGUGUGUGUGUGUGUGUGUGUGUGUGUGUGUGUGUGUGUGUGUGUGUGUGUGUGUGUGUGUGUGUGUGUGUUAUGAAGCACUGUUCCUGGUAAUUGGAUCCUGAGCUAAUGAGGGUGUUUGAGUGACAAAUAUAUUAAACCUAAACAUCCCCUCUCCCUAUUCUUGAAAACGCGACCCUAGGCAACACAGCGACUAGGCAACACAGCGACUAGCCAACACAGCGACUAGGUAACACAGCGACUAGCCAACACAGCGACUAGGCAACACAGCGACUAGCCAACACAGCGACUAGGCAACACAGCGACUAGGCAACACAGCGACUAGGCAACACAGCGACUAGGCAACACAGUGACUAGCCAACACAGUGACUAGCCAACACAGUGACUAGCCAACACAGUGACUAUCAACACAGCGACUAGGUAACACAGUGACUAGGCAACACAGUGACUAGCCAACACAGUGACUAGCCAACACAGUGACUAGCCAACACAGUGACUAUCAACACAGGGACUAGGUAACACAGUGACUAGGUAACACAGUGACUAGGCAACACAGUGACUAGGUAACACAGUGACUAGCCAACACAGUGACUAGGCAACACAGCGACUAGGCAACAAUGCGACUAGGCAACACAGCGACUAGGCAACACAGCGACUAGGUAACACAGUGACUAGGCAACACAGUGACUCGGCAACACAGUGACUAGGCAACACAGUGACUAGCCAACACAGUGACUAGGCAACACAGCGACUAGGUAACACAGUAACUAUCAACACAGUGACUAGGCAACACAGCGAAUAGGUAACACAGUGACUAGCCAACACAUUGACUAGGCAACACAGCGACUAGGCAACACAGUGACUAGCCAACACAGUGACUAGGCAACACAGUGACUAGGUAACACAGUGACUAGCCAACACAUUGACUAGGCAACACAGCGAC
rnacentral:lncRNA from 1 species